AUUGAACGCUGGCGGCAGGCCUAACACAUGCAAGUCGGACGGUAGCACAGAGGAGCUUGCUCCUCGGGUGACGAGUGGCGGACGGGUGAGUAAUGUCUGGGGAUCUGCCCGAUAGAGGGGGAUAACCACUGGAAACGGUGGCUAAUACCGCAUAACGUCGCAAGACCAAAGAGGGGGACCUUCGGGCCUCUCACUAUCGGAUGAACCCAGAUGGGAUUAGCUAGUAGGCGGGGUAACGGCCCACCUAGGCGACGAUCCCUAGCUGGUCUGAGAGGAGGACCAGCCACACUGGAACUGAGACACGGUCCAGACUCCUACGGGAGGCAGCAGUGGGGAAUAUUGCACAAUGGGCGCAAGCCUGAUGCAGUCAUGCCGCGUGUAUGAAGAAGGCCUUCGGGUUGUAAAGUACUUUCAGCGGGGAGGAAGGCGAUGUGGUUAAUAACCGCAUUGAUUGACGUUACCCGCAGAAGAAGCUCCGGCUAACUCCGUGCCAGCAGCCGCCGUAA
rnacentral:rRNA from 1 species